GAGAGGGACAGAAAGAGGGGGAAGGAGAAAUAAGGGCCCUCUCCCUGAAGCCUCAAGCUUCAGUUUAGAGGGAGGAAAAGAAGGAGGGAGGUUGGAGGGGGGGUGGGAAGAAGGGGUAGAAAGGAAUGAAGAGAGAAAAAACAUUCAUUCCUGGACUGGCGCACUGAGCUAGAGUUGUGUAAUCUUGAGCAAGUCCUUUCUCAGAAGUCCAAUAAAGGAACUGGACUAAAUGAUCUCUAAGGUUGCUUCCAUCUUAACAUUCUGUUGUUUCAUCCCUCCCAGCUCUUAUAUUCUAUAGAAAUAUGAAUUUGGGGUGAGUAUCUGUCAGGGCAAAUUCAUCAUCUUCGUGGUGAAAUUUCAUAUUCUUUCUGAAAGAAAAAAAAAGCUGCAACCAUCCUUUCCAUGCAGUGUUAGGGAACGACAAUUAUCUCUCCCCUUCACACUCACACACACACUCUCAGCAACCUCUCUCCUAUUCUUACCUCCCAUCUCCUCUGUACGUAUCCUGUAUAUACCUAGUUAUUUCCGUAUUAUGUCUCCCGUCAGAACAUCCACUCCCUGAGGUUGGGACCAAUUUUGCCUGCCUUUGUCUCCCCCAUCCCCAACCUAGUGUCUGAUAUGGAGUGAGGCUGGACAAAUGCUAGUCGGCUGCCUGCUUGGGUUGGAAUGAGAAAAUUCCUUUCGGCUCCCAUCAUGCCCUUGGCCAUUAUUAUUGGGUCAUGCAAAUUACCUUGGAGAUGACUCUAGGCAAAGGGAAGCAGGUGACCUUUGUCCUGCACUGCUGUGGUUGAACCCAAAUUGAUGCUUCUCCCGACACAGAGGCUGGACCAUUUGUAAAGAAGGAUGCAAAUGAGGAAGCUGAGGCCCAAAGACGCGUUCCCCAAGGCCGCCCGCGUCAAAGGGGCAGAGCCCGACUUCAGACCAGGUUCUUGGCCAGUCUCCCAGCCCCUCUUGCCAGCGCUCAGAGAGGGGAAGCGAUUUGUUCAAGGUCACCCCGACUACCAGCGGCAGGAAUUGAAAUAUAUGACACCAUGCAGGAAUAAAAGGAAGAGAGGCCGGGGGCUGUGGUGGAAAGAAGGCAGGCCUGGAAGUCAGGAGUCCAGGCUUGGAUCUAUGCCUCUGACGCCUACUAGCUGACUGAUCUUGGGCCACUCUGGCCCAUUAUUCUUGUCUGUAAACUGGACCUCCUUCAGCCAUGGUGACAAAAACAUUUUAUAAGUCUUAAAGAACUACAGAAAUAGGGCCUGUUCCCAAAAGCAGGGGGUCUCACAGCAAGACCAGACCUUUUGCUACCUGUCACCCACCACUCACAUCAUCCCUCCUGCUCACAUUUCUCCACCUUUGGAAACUGUCUUGGGGGGAGGGGUUAAAUGCCUCACAAAACUCAUUUAAAAAAGUGUUUCCAUAUUCUAUAAAUGAAUUUUGAGAGACUCAAGAACUCUAAUCAAUGCAGAGACUGGCUGUGAUUCCAGAAGACCAAUGAUAAAAUAUUCUGCCAACCUCCUGACAGGUGAAGGGCACAAAGUACAGAAUGAGACCAGAGUUUUGGAGAACACAGGAAAAAUGGGAAGUUGUUUGACUAGACCAUAUAUAUUCAUUACAAGGGUUUUGUUUUUUUUAAAUGGAGAAGGGAGAAAAAAAUAAAUUUUUGUUCAUUAAAAAAGAUAAAAUGUAAAAAGUAA